UACGGAGGGUGCAAGCGUCAAUCGGAAUUACUGGGCGUAAAGCGUGCGCAGGCGGUUUGUUAAGUCCGCUGUGAAAUCCCCGAGCUCAACUUGGGAAUUGCAGUGGAUACUGGCAAGCUGGAGUAUGGUAGAGGAAGGUGGAAUUCCCGGUGUAGCAGUGAAAUGCGUAGAGAUCGGGAGGAACACCAGUGGCGAAGGCGGCCUUCUGGACCAAUACUGACGCUCAUGCACGAAAGCGUGGGGAGCAAACAGG
rnacentral:rRNA from 1 species